CAGUCGCCGCGGGAAUACGUAGGGUGCAAGCGUUAAUCGGAAUUACUGGGCGUAAAGCGUGCGCAGGCGGUUAUAUAAGUCAGAUGUGAAAUCCCCGGGCUCAACCUGGGAACUGCAUUUGAGACUGUAUGGCUAGAGUGUGUCAGAAGGGGGUAGAAUUCCACGUGUAGCAGUGAAAUGCGUAGAUAUGUGGAGGAAUACCGAUGGCGAAGGCAGCCCCCUGGGAUAACACUGACGCUCAUGCACGAAAGCGUGGGGAGCAAACAGGAUUAGAUACCCCUGUAGUCCCUGUCUCUUAUAA
rnacentral:rRNA from 1 species